rnacentral:pre_miRNA from 1 species
CUGUAGUAUGUGUGAUUUCUGGGUUGUAUUGUUUUCAGUUCCUGUUCUGUAAGUGAAUAUGACCAAUACUUGUUGGUUACACUCAAGCUGUACAGAACAGGAACUGAAAACACUACAACCCCUAGAUCUUGGUACUUUUUACU